AUUGAACGCUGGCGGCGUGCUUAACACAUGCAAGUCGAGCGGUAACAGGCGUAGCAAUACGUGCUGACGAGCGGCGAACGGGUGCGCAAUACAUCGGAAUCUGCCUCGUAGUGGGGAAUAACCCGGCGAAAGCCGGGCUAAUGCCGCAUACGAUCCACGGAUGAAAGCGGGGGACCGUAAGGCCUCGCGCUAUGAGAUGAGCCGAUGUCGGAUUAGCUAGUUGGUGAGGUAACGGCUCACCAAGGCGACGAUCCGUAGCUGGUCUGAGAGGACGGCCAGCCACACUGGGACUGAGACACGGCCCAGACUCCUACGGGAGGCAG
rnacentral:rRNA from 1 species